rnacentral:other from 1 species
GUUACAGACGGACCCUCGUUGGGUUGAAGC